GUGGGGAAUCUUGCGCAAUGGGCGAAAGCCUGACGCAGCCAUGCCGCGUGAAUGAUGAAGGUCUUAGGAUUGUAAAAUUCUUUCACCGGGGACGAUAAUGACGGUACCCGGAGAAGAAGCUCCGGCUAACUUCGUGCCAGCAGCCGCGGUAAUACGAAGGGGGCUAGCGUUGCUCGGAAUUACUGGGCGUAAAGGGCGCGUAGGCGGACAGCUUAGUCAGAGGUGAAAGCCCAGGGCUCAACCUUGGAAUUGCCUUUGAUACUGGCUGUCUUGAGUUUGGGAGAGGUGAGUGGAACUCCGAGUGUAGAGGUGAAAUUCGUUGAUAUUCGGAAGAACACCAGUGGCGAAGGCGACUCACUGGCCCAAUACUGACGCUGAGGUGCGAAAGCGUGGGGAGCAAACAGGAUUAGAUACCCGGGUAGUCC
rnacentral:rRNA from 1 species